AAUGGCUCAGUCUGUCCAACUCUUGAUUUCAGUACAAGUCAUUAUCUGAAGGUUGGUGGGACCAAGCACCGUGUUGGGCUCCAUGCUGACUGUGCAGAACCUGCCUGGCACUCUCUCCCCCUCUCUCUCUGCCCUUCCCCCACUUGCGUUUUCUCUCUCUCUCUCUCAAAAUAAAUCAACAUUAAAGAAACGUUUUUUUGAGGGAGAGAGGAUCCCAAGCUGGCUCCACACUCAGCAUGAAGCUCGAUGUGGGGCUCGAACUCACAACCAAGAAAGACAUCAUGACCUCAGCCAAAAUCAAAGGGUUGGACCCUUAACCAACUGAGCCACCCAGAUGCCCCAAGAAUUCUUUUUUUGCAUAUCCAGUAUACAUAUCCUUGUGUAAUUAUAGUUGAGUGAAUUUACUUGAAGAACUUGGACAGUAUUUGGGGGGGAUUGAAUAAUUUCUUUCAGCCCAGUCUAUCUGAGCACCUUCUGAGGGCAAAGCGAUACAUGAGCACGGAGGUGUGAAACAUUAAAGCCUACGUUAGUCAUCUCUCCCCCGCGUGGGGCUUGGAAGAUUCUUCACAUAUUCUAGACACUCGUCUUCUGUUUGGUAUGUGGUCUGCGAAUAUCUUCUCCAAGCCUGUAGUCUGUCUUUCUACCCUCUUAGCAAAAAUCUGUUUACAAAAACUCUCAUGUGAUCAAUCAAAUCUUGGCAAAGCCCGAUUCAGGAAGUGAGAAGAGUGACGGGGCCACAUGAGAGAGAUUAAACGACACUUUUCCUGUUUUUAUAGAAGUUUGGCUGGAUUCCCAAAGCCGAGAACGAUUGUGGAUAAUGGCCGUGCCUUUAAAAACCAGGGGAGCUGGAUGCACGUAGGCAGGAUUUACCAAGAGGUGCCAAAAUAGGCCACCACCAUCCCUCCCUGCCUCUGGAGGGGAUGCUUCCCUGCAACCCACUGGCCAGAUGCUGGAGUCCAAAGGGAGCCACAGUAGAGACGGGGGUGUCUGUGAAGGGGGGACGACAGGCAUGUCACUACCGGGCCAGAUGAAAUCUAUCCAAGAGCAGUCUUCGCUUCUAAGCACCAACAGGCAUUACGAACCUGUUCACUUCAGCAUCGUUAAUCCAGUUGAAGGAUCCGCAGCUCAAAAAGGCAUCACCAGGGGAGUCAUUUAACGGUCCAUUAAACAGAAGGACGUGGUGUGCGAAAACCCUCAAGACCCAUUUUUCUUCUAAGUUCCAGUCUUUCUCUCUCUCUCUCUCUCCUCUCUUUUUUAAAAGUUUAUGUCUUUUGAUGGGGCGCCUGGGUGGCUCAGUUGGUUAAGUGUCCGACUUCAGCUCAGGUCACGAUCUCCCGGUCCGUGAGUUCGAGCCCCGCGUCGGGCUCUGGGCUGACGGCUCAGAGCCUGGAGCCUGUUUCCGAUUCUGUGUCUCCCUCUCUCUCUGCCCCUCCCCCGUUCAUGCUCUGUCUC